GACAGUGGCAUACACCAUUCUUGGGACAUCUGGCAUGGCUCGAAGAACCUCAAUAAGAAGCUUGUGGCGGCAGGACAGCAAAAGGGAUGCGCUGGUUUACUAGCAUGGAGCAGGGAUAUUUGCAACCAUUUCUGGCACUGCUGCAAGACUUCAAACUCCUAUCGACAGUUUAUGGACAUGUGGUCGGGACUGCUGCACCAUGUCACCGGAGAGCAUGAGUGGUCCCUGUACUCCUGUCACCAUGGCCCUCUGGAGGACAGCAGAGACAAGGAAUGGAUCGAGGCAGACAGUUUGGCACACCAAAGACUGAGAGACAUUGUUCUCGACGCACGCUGGCUGAAGAACAUUGACAAAUACCUUCACUUCAGGUGAAAUUGAUUGUAUGCAGAAGGAUUCCAGAUGACUUCUCUACCUAUUGUCUGAACAAAUUACAAAUGUGAUGUCAACGGCAGAUUUGGAGUCGUUUCAUAACCA